rnacentral:lncRNA from 1 species
UUGCACUAAAAAACAUCUUUAUAACUAGAGAAAUUCAGCACUUGAUUUUAUUCAUAUUUCUCUCUUAUGUUGUACAUCUAAAUAAAUAAAUAAAUGAAUGGGAUGUUUAGUUAGGAGGAAUUAGGGUCAGAAAUUGGAACGUGAAUAGAUGACUCCUAUUUCAAUUAUUUGGUUGGAAGAAAUCUCAUUUCGAUUUCGAUUUCGAAGUGAAAUGAGAAUAGCCCAAUCUACCUACAACUCCAUCCC